rnacentral:rRNA from 1 species
UGUAUAGUUAAUCUGCCCUUUAGAGAGGAAUAACUACUGGAAACGGUAGCUAAUACCUCAUACUCCUUUUACCUUAAUGGUAAUUGGGAAAUGUUUUUCGCUAAAGGAUGAGACUAUAUGGUAUCAGGUAGUUGGUGGGGUAAGAGCCUACCAAGCCAAUGACGCCUAGCUGGUCUGAGAGGAUGAUCAGCCACACUGGAACUGAGACACGGUCCAGACUCCUACGGGAGGCAGCAGUGGGGAAUAUUGCACAAUGGAGGAAACUCUGAUGCAGCAAACGCCGCGUGGAGGAUGACGCAUUUUCGGUGUGUAAAACUCCUUUUUAUAUGGGAAGAUAAAUGACGGUACCAUAUGAAUAAGCACCGGCUAAACUCCGUGCCAGCUGCGGCGG